UACGUAGGGUGCAAGCGUUGUCCGGAUUUAUUGGGCGUAAAGAGCUCGUAGGCGGCUUGUCGCGUCGACUGUGAAAACCCGAGGCUCAACUUCGGGCUUGCAGUCGAUACGGGCAGGCUAGAGUUCGGUAGGGGAGACUGGAAUUCCUGGUGUAGCGGUGAAAUGCGCAGAUAUCAGGAGGAACACCGAUGGCGAAGGCAGGUCUCUGGGCCGAUACUGACGCUGUAGAGCGAAAGCGUGGGGAGCGAACAGG
rnacentral:rRNA from 1 species